AAAACCAGAGAGGUCCCCACAAGCUGACAGAUUCUGAGAACCUUUGCAAAGCAGAAUGGGCAAACACCAAGUCAAGAUGUGGGUGUUGAUGUGAUAUUGCCAGAAGUAUUUGCUCCCCUGCCCUGACGUGAACUUUAGUGACCUCUCAUUCUUAAACCACAGGGUUCAGUAUGAUGUUGAUCCACCCUCUGCAGCCAUAGCAGCCUCAGCUCUUCUGGGAAGGUGGUCCACAAGGUUCUGGAGUGCGUUUAUGGGAAUUUUUCUUUCAGGGGCGCAUUUAAGGUCAGACGCUGAUGUUGGACGAGAAGGCUUGGCUCUAAAUCGCUGCUCUAAUUCACCGC